rnacentral:lncRNA from 7 species
AUGCCCCAGGGCUGUUGCCGGCCUCCAGCAAUGGAGGGAUGCAGCAUAGUCCUCUCCAUCCUCCACCAAACUUAUCUCUGUCCAAGGAUGAGCAGGUGUCCAGGAAGAGAGAGAUACCGUUCUCAUAAAGUAUUUGGAUAUUUCCAACAAUUUGACCUCGCUCUUCCUUCCCCCUACGAAAUCCACCAAGAUCCCCCCCCAGACACCCUUUCCACCCCAUAGAAGUCCCCUUUUCCCC